GACGAACGCUGGCGGCGUGCCUAAUACAUGCAAGUCGAACGCUGAAGGAGGAGCUUGCUUCUCUGGAUGAGUUGCGAACGGGUGAGUAACGCGUAGGUAACCUGCCUGGUAGCGGGGGAUAACUAUUGGAAACGAUAGCUAAUACCGCAUAAGAGUAGAUGUUGCAUGACAUUUGCUUAAAAGGUGCAAUUGCAUCACUACCAGAUGGACCUGCGUUGUAUUAGCUAGUUGGUGAGGUAACGGCUCACCAAGGCAACGAUACAUAGCCGACCUGAGAGGGGGAUCGGCCACACUGGGACUGAGACACGGCCCAGACUCCUACGGGAGGCAGCAGUAGGGAAUCUUCGGCAAUGGACGGAAGUCUGACCGAGCAACGCCGCGUGAGUGAAGAAGGUUUUCGGAUCGUAAAGCUCUGUUGUAAGAGAAGAACGAGUGUGAGAGUGGAAAGUUCACACUGUGACGGUAUCUUACCAGAAAGGGACGGCUAACUACGUG
rnacentral:rRNA from 1 species